UGUUCUCUCAGGGAUGACAUUUUUCAGUCAGUUCUGUUCUGGACUCAGACGUCAUCUAUACCAGUCGUAAAGACAUUCCCUGUAUAUUCAGAGUGACUGCGUCCCAGCUCUCCCCCUCCAGCAGCCAUAAGACCUCCAUCCUGAUCCUGGCUGACAGCAAUCAGGAGAGGAACAAGUGGGUGGGCCUCCUCAACGAGCUGCAUCGCAUCCUCAAGAA